rnacentral:ncRNA from 1 species
UAUCUUCAGGGCGGGGUGUAAGUCCCCACCGGUGGUUAUAGUCCACGCGCUAGAAAUAGCAUGAUUUGGUGUAAUUCCAAAACCGACAGUAUAGUCUGGAUGAAAGAAGGUA